AUAUUAUUUUAUUUUGGUUAAUAUUUUUAUUAUUAUUUUAUUUUACAUGUAAAUUUUUGUGUGAAUUAAUUUAAUUUUUAAAAAAUUAAAUAUAAAAAUUUAUUCGCAGUAAUUGAUAUUAAUAUAAAAAAGAAAUUUUGUAUUAGUAAUAAUAUAUAGUAUUGGUAAAAUUUGUGCCAGCUACCGCGGUUAUACAAAUAAUGCAAGUAAAAAUUUUUAGUAUUAGUUAAAUUGUUAAAUUUAUAAUAUAAAUAUAAAUUUAUUAGGUGAAAUUUUUAAAUUUAUUUAUUUAUUAUUUUAAAAAAUAAUUUAAGCUAUAAACUUUUUAUAAUAAACUAGGAUUAGAUACCCUAUUAUUGAAAAUAAAUAUUUAAAUACUUAAGUAGUAUUAGUUAUAUUCUUAAAAUUUAAAAAAUUUGGCGGUAUUUUAGUCUAUUUAGAGGAAUCUGUCCUGUAAUUGAUAAUCCACAUUGAACCUUACUUAAAUUUGUUUAAUUUGUAUAUCGCCGUCAUCAGAAUAUGUUAUAAGAUAAAAAUUUUCUUAAUAUUUAAUUAAAUAAGAUGUCAGGUCAAGGUGCAGUUUAUGUUUAAGUAGAGAUGGAUUACAAUAAAUUUAUUUAAAUGGAUAAUUUUUUGAAAUAAAAGUUUGAAGGUGGAUUUAAUAGUAAUAUAAAAUAGAUUAUUUAUAUGAUUUUAGCUCUAAAAUAUGUACAUAUCGCCCAUCGUUCUUAUUUUUAAAAUAAGAUAAGUUGUAACAUAGUAGAUGUACUGGAAAGUGUAUCUAGAAAGAC
rnacentral:ncRNA from 1 species